rnacentral:lncRNA from 1 species
CACGCAAAUUGGGGCGGGCCUAGUGCGGAAAGAUACCGGAAGUGUUUCUGUGGCCAUCUUGAACAGAUCGCAAGCUAAAUCAUCCAUCUUAGGAGGUACAGACUACAGGGGGCCGUGGCUUCCUCUUAACCGCGGCAGCUGCUGAUAAAUACUGUACUAUUAACAGUGAGGCCCGGCGUAAUUUCCUUAUUAGAGGGCUUCUUUACGUCUCUUCAUCCCAAACUGGGAAAUGAUGCUGUUGACUGGGGCAAAGAAUAAUGGGAGAAAAACAGCUGGGUCCUAAAUAACAGAGGGAAACCAACUUUCAAUAAAGUAUUCAACAACUAAUCCACAAAGCAGAUAACUGAACUUGCUGGCCUGCUCUAUAGUGCUGUUGCUUAAAAAGUCAUCUGUGAAGAAAACCAGAGGGAGAAAUUUCACCUGCCAAAGUGGAUAAAGAGGUAUAAACUCAAACCCAUCUUGAAUUUGAGCAGUUAUGGAUAUGCCCUUGCUCAGUAUAUCGGACUAUCAACACCCAGCCCAUGUUCUAAUCUAGCUUCAGUUAUUGCACCCUGCCCCUGGCUGGGCGAGGUGGCUCACACCUGUAAUCCCAGCACUUUGGAAGGCUGAGGUGAAAGGAUUGCU